rnacentral:lncRNA from 14 species
AGAAUGUUUUUGUUCAGGAAUGUCUUUUCCAUGCCAGCUUCCACAGUACGGCUCUUACGGCACCAAAGAUACUCACCUGGUGGUGUAACUACUGGAACUACUCAGUCUUCAUUUGCCAGUGAGUUCUUGGACUCUUCUGCUGAAAGCUAUCCAGGAGGCAUCCCAGAGAAAUAUGCUGCACAACUGAGGUCUAUGGAAGAAGCUUCUUUCCAAAGACGUUUCUGUGCAGCACGUCAGGCUCUAUCAGGGAAAGCACCUAAUGCAUAUGCCCAGCCCUUCCAAAGGGACCUGGCAGCCACUCCUGCACUGGGCAGCUCCCAUCAGCAGUUCCUGGAACCAACAAUAUAUGCUUCUGUGCUCUCAGAUAGCAGGAAUAUGACCCAAGACCAGAGCUUCCUGAGUAACCCAGAGGGCCGGUGA